rnacentral:rRNA from 1 species
GGUGGAUGUGCAGUUUCGCCCUUAGAGUUUGAUCCUGGCUCAGAUUGAACGCUGGCGGCAUGCUUUACACGUGCGAGUCGAACGCGGGUGAGGGGCAACUCUCACCUGAGUGGCGAACGGGUGAGUAAUACAUCGGAACGUGUCCCGUAGUGGGGGAUAACCCGGCGAAAGCCGGACUAAUACCGCAUAUGCUCUACGGAGGAAAGUGGGGGACCCGCAAGGGCCUCAUGCUAUGGGAGCGGCCGAUGUCCGAUUAGCUUGUUGGUGGGGUAACGGCCCACCAAGGCGACGAUCGGUAGCUGGUCUGAGAGGAUGAUCAGCCACACUGGGACUGAGACACGGCCCAGACUCCUACGGGAGGCAGCAGUGGGGAAUUUUGGACAAUGGGGGCAACCCUGAUCCAGCCAUGCCGCGUGAGUGAAGAAGGCCUUCGGGUUGUAAAGCUCUUUUGGCCGGAAAGAAAAGGCCACGGAUAACACCCGUGGUUUUUGACGGUACCGGCAGAAUAAGCACCGGCUAACUACGUGCCAGCAGCCGCGGUAAUACGUAGGGUGCGAGCGUUAAUCGGAAUUACUGGGCGUAAAGCGUGCGUAGGCGGUUUCGCAAGUCCGCUGUGAAAGCCCCGGGCUUAACCUGGGAAUGGCAGUGGAAACUAUGGGACUUGAAUCUGGCAGAGGGGGGUGGAAUGCCACGUGUAGCAGUGAAAUGCGUAGAGAUGUGGCGGAACACCGAUGGCGAAAGCAGCCCCCUGGGCCAAGAUUGACGCUCAGCACGAAAGCGUGGGGAGCGAACGGGAUUAGAUACCCCGUAGUCUGCCUUAAACGAUGAUGCUGUGUCUGAGUUUUAUAGUCUCGGUGCGCAGCUACGCGUAAGCAUCCGCUGGGGGAGUACGGUCGCAGACUGAAACUCAAAGGAA